rnacentral:rRNA from 1 species
UACAGAGGCCUCGAGCGUUAGGCGGAAUCACUGGGCUUAAAGCGUGUGUAGGCGGACUUCUAAGUACCUUGUGAAAUCCCACGGCUCACCCGUGGAACUGCUGGAUAUACUGGCGGUCUUGAGCGAUCUAGGGGCAGAUGGAACAAGUGGUGGAGCGGUGAAAUGCGUAGAUAUCACUUGGAACGCCAAAGGUGAAAACAGUCUGCUGGGGAUCUGCUGACGCUGAGACACGAAAGCCAGGGGAGCGAACGGG